CCUACAUUAUUUUGUAUAUCAUCGGCAUAGCUGAAUGCAAAUUUCCACCCGUUCGAGUGGUAUAUAAGCCAAUCGGUGUCGAAUUGAUGGUAUAGUUUUGUAUCAGCAGUCGUACAAGGCAACUUUCAACAAUGUUCAAAUUACUCGUCUUGGUAUUCGCCGUUCUUUUCGCCGUCGCAAUGGCCGCACCUGAACCAGAAGCUAAGCCGCAAUUCUUCUACGGCGCCUACCCCUACACCUACGGUGCUUAUGCCUACCCAUACACCGGAUAUUUUGGACGCUAUCUAUACUAGGCUGCAUUUAGAAAUUGAAAAACGUCUUUGGUCUUAAUGCUCACUAAAAUGAAAUAGUUUACAAUAAAGUUACCUCAAGCCUUA